rnacentral:rRNA from 1 species
GUGGGGAAUAUUGGACAAUGGGCGAAAGCCUGAUCCAGCCAUGCCGCGUGUGUGAAGAAGGUCUUCGGAUUGUAAAGCACUUUAAGUUGGGAGGAAGGGCAUUAACCUAAUACGUUAGUGUUUUGACGUUACCGACAGAAUAAGCACCGGCUAACUUCGUGCCAGCAGCCGCGGUAAUACGAAGGGUGCAAGCGUUAAUCGGAAUUACUGGGCGUAACGCGCGCGUAGGUGGUUCGUUAAGUUGGAUGUGAAAGCCCCGGGCUCAACCUGGGAACUGCAUCCAAAACUGGCGAGCUAGAGUACGGUAGAGGGUGGUGGAAUUUCCUGUGUAGCGGUGAAAUGCGUAGAUAUAGGAAGGAACACCAGUGGCGAAGGCGACCACCUGGACUGAUACUGACACUGAGGUGCGAAAGCGUGGGGAGCAAACAGGAUUAGAAACCCCGGUAGUCC